AUGCUCACUUUGGCAGCACAUAUACUAAAUUUGAAUGAUACAGAAAAUAUUUUCAUGGCCCCUGUGCAAGGAUGGCAGGCAUAUUCUGAAAUUCUGAGGAAGAGGUG